rnacentral:misc_RNA from 1 species
GAUGAAGAACGAAGCGAAAUGCGAUAAGUAGUGUGAAUUGCAGAAUUCAGUGAAUCAUCGAAUCUUUGAACGCACAUUGCGCCCCUUGGUAUCCCGAGGGGCAUGCCUGUUCGAGCGUCAUUUCACCACUCAAGCCUGGCUUGGUGUUGGGCGACGUCCUCUUUGGGGACGCGCCUCGAAACGCUCGGCGGCGUGGCACCGGCUUUAAGCGUAGCAGAAUCUUUCGCUUUGGAAGUCGGGGCCCCGUCUGCCGGAAGACCUGCUCGCAAGGUUGACCUCGGAUCAGGCAGGGAUACCCGCUGAACUUAAGCAUAUCAAUAAGCGGAGGA